AGUACCCCAGAUCUGGGGUACUAAACUAGAAGAUGGGCAGUAGUAUCAGAAAGGUUUAACCAAUCCGCUAAAGCUAGAUGUUGUCUGAAAGCUGUGAAUCUCCUCUUUCCGGUCGUGUAUAAUACCUCUGUCCUAGGUCUUACUACCUUUUAUGGGCAUGCAGCAAUGUAUGACCCCCCCCCCCCCCACGACACCAACACAAGAUGGCUGCUACCUAGUCUCAGCGUCGAAUUUUUAUGAAACUAGUCAAAGUAAUGAUUUACAUCGAAGCCAGACACUCCAUCGAGCAGAAUAACAUCUUAUAUGGCUGCCUGGGGGCUACUAUUAUCGAUCCAGACCUCUGAGAGUCAACAUCUUCAUUGGAAAAUCCGUUUUCAACAAAUACCAUACCUCUCACAAGGUAAGCUUCGAUUUGGUCUGUGGUUGAGCAAAAGCUUCAUAUUAGGUAUCAAAUUAAUCGUUAGGUUCUUAGGAACAAAACUAGACUAUCGGCAUUGUUUUCUGAUCAUGUAUGACUACAUAGCAAUGUCAAAUGUCCACAGAGUGCCUACAUGUUUUUGCACAAAAUACAUUGCCUUGUUCGCUUACGCACGGUAAACAUCGUAUUCACUUGCAUUUGGCUAAUAUGAAACCUGGCUAGCCUUGUAGCCAAUGAAAUAAGCUUUCCAGUGAUAUGCAGAUGUCCUAGGUGGGGGAUAGCCACUCCAAGGAAACCUUCGCGCAAAAGGUACCAUUGUUACUCUGCUCUGGAACGAGGCGCAUGGCGCACGCUACUCAGCUAUUGUAAACAAUUAGAUUCAGCGAUUAUACAAUAAUUAUGGCUUCGCAAGGAGUAAAGAGAAGCAAAAAACGAAGAAUAUUGAGCAGGGGGCUAAAGAAAACGAGUAAAUUGUCCGUCUUGGAGGCUUUGCAUGCUGUAGUCUCAUGGACUCUGACGUUAGCGGUUUGGACCUGGGCUAUCUGUUGAUGGAUUGGAUCCACUAGUAGAUCGAGAGAAAGAUCUGAAGAUGAGGACUGGCAGCCAUCCCUCCCCAGCAAGCGCCCCUGCUCCUCAAUGUCUCCACCCCCCACAGUUGUGUCUACCACCCCCACUCCAGGCCAGACAUUUCUUUUGGGGGAAAUUUUUUAGGGAAAUCUUUUGGGGAAUUUCUAUCUAUUGCUGUUUAUAAUAAGAUUGAUAGUUUUUAUACUUUCUGUAGUGUUGUUUUUAUAGUGAAUAUGUACUUUUAGGCACAUCCAAUGUGCAAAAACAGUGCCAUUUAUAAAUAGUUGUCAGUUAUUGGAUUUUGCACUACUUUAUAAAUGUUUGAUAACACAUUUAGUUUUUUGACCUUUUAUUCAUCACACUUUAUUGCUUUUAUAAUGGGAUUGAUUGUUUUUAUAUUACUUAUAAUGUGGUUUUUAUAGUGAAUAUUUACUUUUAGGCACAUCCAAUGUGCAAUAACAGUGCAAUUACCCUUUCGGGACACUUUGGAGAGGUUGAAAGGACACUUGAAUGUAUGGCACAUUAUAAUAAAAUAAUAGUUGUAAAAAAAAUUUAUAUAAAAUUUUUAUUAAUUUUUUUUUUUUUUGAUAUUUACAUUUUUGGCACAUCCAGUCUGCUGAAACAGAGCAAUUAUCACAUUAGGCCACUUUGGAGAGGUUUAGGGACACUUGGGAACGUCUAUUGACACCACACACUAAAACAGCUGCCCAGCUCAUACUCUUAUGUGUAUCAAGUUCAAAUUUUUUGGUGAUGAUGGUGACAUGUUUGGGAAGCCAUUUGUUGUGUUUUCAGGCUAGAACAGCCAUAAUUGAAUGAUUGCUUGUUUUUCAAAAAACCUAAUUAACAUAAAAAUGAGUAAAAACGGUUAGAAACUUUUGUGUUUCAUCUUCUGUAUUUAGAACUCCCUCAUUCCCUCAUAUAUUCUGAUUAUUUCCUCAUAAUCUCCCAGGUGUCUUGUUUCCAAAGAUACCAGGAUUGUGCAUGUCCUAACAACAUAAGUCCACAUGAAUAGCAGUUACUUUUGGGUAUGUCUAUUUAGGCGGAAAUUAGCAUUUCUGCAUUUACAUUCAACAGGUUAUGAAC